GUGCUCCGCCGCAGGACGAUGUCUUUGCAGCAGUAGAGAUGUCUGCAUAAGCCAAGAAGGAGAUUAAACACACUAAUCUCUCAACUGCAACUGUGGAGGCAACAUAUCCAUGUGACCCUGUCAAACUUCAGUUGGCACCAGCUGGUGGAGAUCAAGGGUGACCAGCGUGAGCUGUAUGAAUCAAACUGGACUCAGAAAAGGUAUGCACGUUCAUUUGAAGUGGCUGCAGAUAUAAGAGU